UUUUAUGAGAGUUUGAUCCUGGCUCAGGACGAACGCUGGCGGCGUGCCUAAUACAUGCAAGUCGUACGCUUCUUUUUCCACCGGAGCUUGCUCCACCGGAAAAAGAGGAGUGGCGAACGGGUGAGUAACACGUGGGUAACCUGCCCAUCAGAAGGGGAUAACACUUGGAAACAGGUGCUAAUACCGUAUAACAAUCGAAACCGCAUGGUUUUGAUUUGAAAGGCGCUUUC
rnacentral:rRNA from 1 species